GGAAAGUGUUAGUAGAUCGAAAGAAGAGGAAAUUUCCUCUGGAAACCCUACCCCACAAUUGACACAGAGCGAAAUAACAGCCACAGCCUCACGUGAAGAUGGAUAUACGCAUGGAUAUAAUGAAUCAAAAUCAGGGAGCCGACAACUUACACGUGAUAUGCAAAGUGAAAACAGAUCAAAUGAACAGACUGGACAAUUUGAAACACCUACCUGGCAAAAUACGCAAGAAACG